GUUGUGUUCCCAGGAACACCAGGUCAGUGGAAGGACCCACUGUUUUGUCCUGUGAAAGCAGAACCCUAGGGAUGAAAAAAGUGCCAUAGUCUUGUAAAUGCUAAGAGGAGUGGUAUGAGGGUCUUCUAUAUUGAGAAAGGCAUCCAAACAGUGUAUAACAGUAGGACAUUCACAAUUAUUAAUGGGGAGCUAACAUAGGGUGUAAG